GGUGAAAAGCACCCCGGAAGGGGAGUGAAAUAGAACCUGAAACCGUGUGCUUACAAGUAGUCAGAGCCCGUUAAUGGGUGAUGGCGUGCCUUUUGUAGAAUGAACCGGCGAGUUACGAUUUGAUGCAAGGUUAAGCAGUAAAUGUGGAGCCGUAGCGAAAGCGAGUCUGAAUAGGGCGUUUAGUAUUUGGUCGUAGACCCGAAACCAGGUGAUCUACCCUUGGUCAGGUUGAAGUUCAGGUAACACUGAAUGGAGGACCGAACCGACUUACGUUGAAAAGUGAGCGGAUGAACUGAGGGUAGCGGAGAAAUUCCAAUCGAACCUGGAGAUAGCUGGUUCUCUCCGAAAUAGCUUUAGGGCUAGCCUCAAGUGAUGAUUAUUGGAGGUAGAGCACUGUUUGGACGAGGGGCCCCUCUCGGGUUACCGAAUUCAGACAAACUCCGAAUGCCAAUUAAUUUAACUUGGGAGUCAGAACAUGGGUGAUAAGGUCCGUGUUCGAAAGGGAAACAGCCCAGACCACCAGCUAAGGUCCCAAAAUAUAUGUUAAGUGGAAAAGGAUGUGGCGUUGCCCAGACAACUAGGAUGUUGGCUUAGAAGCAGCCAUCAUUUAAAGAGUGCGUAAUAGCUCACUAGUCGAGUGACACUGCGCCGAAAAUGUACCGGGGCUAAACAUAUUACCGAAGCUGUGGAUUGUCCUUUGGACAAUGGUAGGAGAGCGUUCUAAGGGCGUUGAAGCAUGAUCGUAAGGACAUGUGGAGCGCUUAGAAGUGAGAAUGCCGGUGUGAGUAGCGAAAGACGGGUGAGAAUCCCGUCCACCGAUUGACUAAGGUUUCCAGAGGAAGGCUCGUCCGCUCUGGGUUAGUCGGGUCCUAAGCUGAGGCCGACAGGCGUAGGCGAUGGAUAACAGGUUGAUAUUCCUGUACCACCUAUAAUCGUUUUAAUCGAUGGGGGGACGCAGUAGGAUAGGCGAAGCGUGCGAUUGGAUUGCACGUCUAAGCAGUAAGGCUGAGUAUUAGGCAAAUCCGGUACUCAUUAAGGCUGAGCUGUGAUGGGGAGAAGACAUUGUGUCUUCGAGUCGUUGAUUUCACACUGCCGAGAAAAGCCUCUAGAUAGAAAAUAGGUGCCCGUACCGCAAACCGACACAGGUAGUCAAGAUGAGAAUUCUAAGGUGAGCGAGCGAACUCUCGUUAAGGAACUCGGCAAAAUGACCCCGUAACUUCGGGAGAAGGGGUGCUCUUUAGGGUUAACGCCCAGAAGA
rnacentral:rRNA from 1 species